GGUGGCGCAGACAAUCCCCACGAUGAUCACCAGCUGGUUACCACCCAGGAUCUCUGGUCUGAGGGCUCCCGGGGUCACCAAUGCUUGGGAAAGGAGAAGAGCAAUGACAGAGCCUCAACAUUCCAGAGAAGAGCUGGGAGCCUCACCAGUUCUAUGCCAAGCAGCAACAGCCACGUCAGGAAGUAGGAGGAGAAGGCCAGACUUCACCCCACAUGGAAGCACUGGUGAUGGAGAAGACAUCGAAAGACUGUAGGAAGUUCAGAUUUGUGAUUGAGAAAGAUGGCACUGAGAAUGAGGGGUAGUGACUAAGAGUGAAAGCAGAGACUGGUGAGAGGACUGCAGUCUAAGACAGACAGACAGUCAGAAUAAGGGGAUGGUGCCAGAUAAGAAAGAAGACAGAUCCAAAGUCAGUAGUAGAAAUGACAGGACUUGUUGACUUGUUAGACUGGGGGUCCUGGGAAAGGGAAAAAUCAAGUACAACUCCCAGGCAUCCAGUUGGAUAAUUGUGUAGAUAGCGGUGGCAUCAACUGAGGUUGGAGAGAUGGGCAGGGGACAGGUGUGAGUGGUGGAUUUGGAUUAUUUGUGUGUGAGUAUUUGUGGAAAAUCUGGAUGGAGUUCAUAUACAGAGUCAGACGGAUAGACAGAUGGAUGGACGGAUAGAUAGAUAGGUUGUGUGUAACAGAAUAUGUUAAAUGUAUACAGAACGUGGUGUUCAAUACCACUGGGGUAGGGAAGAUCCAGGAUGAACAGUUAGAGUACCACUGGUGAUCUACACUGGGGGAGAGGCAGAAGUAGAAGACUGCUUGCAGAGUGCUUUGAGUUAAUGGAAGAUGAGACAGGAGACCCCGAGUUCAGUCCUUCAGCAAGCUAUCUGGCUGUGUCUAGAAAGAAAUGAAUAAUGUAUCAUGAGGAAAGUCGUGCAACUCAGAAUACACUAAAAACACUGAGUUGUACAUUUUAAAAGGGUGAAUUGUGUGGCAUGUGAGUUGUAUCUCAAUAAAGCUCUUUCAAGAAAGGGUAAAA